rnacentral:lncRNA from 1 species
UAUCCGAUGAAAUUAAUUCCGUAUUUGAAAUUUUCUGGAAUUUGCGAUAGGUAAUUUUUUUCAAAAUUGUCUAUAAUCCUUUUACCAGAAAAAAAAUCGAACCUGAAAUUCACUCAAAUGUUGGACGUGUAUCACUAUAUACAAAUGACAUAGUUUUAUGUCUGAUCAGUAUGUUCCUUAAUUUAAGCCUUACUGAUGUCGCUUCUCCAAACCGCUGUUUUGAGUAUUUUAUAAUAUAAAAAUACAUAGAAUAUGAUGUUUACAAAUUGGUAAAGUUAAAAAGGUGCACAGUUGUAAGGUAUUUUGUUAGCAACUUCGAUUGAUAUUUUAUGCAAAAUGUUAAUAUAACACUUUGGUAUUGCAAUCUUUUUAUUUUUUUAGUUAAGCAAAUGAAA